rnacentral:rRNA from 1 species
GAUCCUGGCUUAGGAUGAACGCUGGCGGCGUGCCUAACACAUGCAAGUCGAGCGAGAAACCUGCGAGUUGAUACUCGGUGAAACAUGCAGGCGGAAAGCGGCGGACGGGUGAGUAACGCGUAGGCAACCUGCCCCAUGCAGAGGGAUAGCCUCGGGAAACCGGGAUUAAAACCUCAUAAUGCGCAGACGAGACAUCUCGACUGCGCCAAAGAUUUAUCGGCAAGGGAUGGGCCUGCGUCUGAUUAGUUAGUUGGUGAGGUAACGGCUCACCAAGGCGACGAUCAGUAGCCGACCUGAGAGGGUGAUCGGCCACAUUGGAGCUGAGACACGGUCCAAACUCCUACGGGAGGCAGCAGUGGGGAAUAUUGCACAAUGGGGGAAACCCUGAUGCAGCAACGCCGCGUGAAGGAUGAAGGCCCUUGGGUCGUAAACUUCUGUUCUAAGGGAAGAUAAUGACGGUACCUUAGGAGCAAGUCCCGGCUAACUACGUGCCAGCCGCGGC